AUCCAUUUUGGCAGCAUGUAUGCUAAAAUUGGAAUGAUACAGAGAAGAUCAGCAUGGUCCCUAUGCAAGGAUAACAUGCAAAUUUGAGAAGCAUUCCAUCUUUUU